CCCCUAGAUGUUCUGGGCCGCACGCGCGCUACACUGAACAGUUCAACAAGUCUUAACCUUGGCCGAUAGGUCUGGGUAAUCUUUGAACGCUGUUCGUGAUUGGGAUAGACCUUUGCAAUUAUGGGUCUUCAACGAGGAAUUCCUAGUAAACGCAAGUCAUCAGCUUGCAGUGAUUACGUCCCUGCCCUUUGUACACACCGCCCGUCGCACCUACCGAUUGAAUGGUCCGGUGAAAUCUCGGGACGGCGGCUUGGUCGCUUGCGUCCGACUGCUGAAACUUGAUUAAACCAUAGCAUUUAGAGGAAGGUGAAGUCGUAACA
rnacentral:rRNA from 1 species